CGAAAACAAUUAUGAAAAUGAGGACUUGUUUGGGGAAGGGAGCGGAGAACAAGAACAAAAACAGGCACUGCAGUAUUAGCUAAACUUUAUUCAUAAACAAAAUAAUUCUUUGUGCUUACACUGUCAGUUUGAUCUGAUCUCCACAAACAUUCAGUGACACCUGGGAAGUUACAAGUUUACGAGAGAACGGAGAUAUACCUAAGUAACGACACACACACACACACACACACACACACACACACACACACACACACACACACACACACACCAUCUGAGAAAAAGAUAUACACAUUCAAAGCUAACACGACUGAAGAUUCUCAUUUAUUUCAUUUUCUGGAGGUCUAAAAAUAUCUUCAGACACGAUUAACACUUAGAGGAUUGCUGGGACACAUUACGACUCAUAUGACGAUGUUUUAGAAAUGGCUGAGUAUUCCCUUACCCACUCUCCCCCUCCAUACCUCCCCAUUACUUUACCUUAACCCCCCCCCCAUAUCCCAUUUCCCGACCCCAUUUUCCUUGGUGGGGUUCUGCAUGCGCUCAACCCACCAACACUCAUUACUCUGUCAUUUUUUCUAUCCAUCCAAAAUGUGAAAUAGGAAGGGAAAAGACAUUAGAAUUCCUGUUUUUGAGAGUGUAAGUAAACUGGAUGAAAGAAGCAGGAAGAUAUGCAGACAGAGGUGAUGUGGCGGUUCUGUUCUUGUUUUGUUUUAGUCUGCACGCUGACAGUACAUAGUUAGUUAGUUAGUCGGUACGUAAUGUUAACGAUGUCGGAGACCGAGAACGUUGGCAUGUUGAAACAUUGUGCAAAAAAAUAUACUUGUUGCAUUGAGGGCACAAAGACAUGGAAGACAGGAAAAAAUCACAUAAAUGAAUAAAUAAAAUGAAAAAGAGAAAAUAUAAAAGCCCAAAAGACACAAAUAGUAAAAAAUAGAUAAAAAAUAAAAUGGAAAAUAAGGAAAAUAUAGAUCGCCAAAAGACAUGGAUAAUAAAAAUUAGACAAAUAAAGAAAAUAAUUAAAUAGAAUGCAGAAAUCAUGUUUAUAAGAAAAAAUAAAAGAAAAUAAUGACUCACUUAUGCAGCAAAAAAAUAAAUGAGUGAGUUUCUUAGCCAUGCAUUAGAUAAACAAUAAACUUUUACCAUUAAUUAACUUUUUGUCCCAUCAGCUCAUGUCCUAUUCUCCUGACUGGCUGACUGUCAUUCUAUAAAAAGAUAAACAACAGUAAUGAAUGCAUACAAAACAACAGCAAGAGGCAGAUAAGUGGGUUGCUCUAAGCGUCAAUGAUACAAUGCUGUCAAUAAACUUUGCAAACAAGGAUAACAAUUUCUCUCUCAUCUUGCAGAUUAAUUAAAAGUGUUGCAGUCCACUAAGACAAACCCCCCCAAAAAACUGAACCAUACUCUCUCUUCUUUUCACCCUUCCUCUCUCUCUCUCUCACUCUCUUUCACUCUCCCUCUCUCUUUCUCUUUCUCCCACUAGCACAAUAAAUAAGAACCAUUGCACGUGCACCAAAUAACAAUGGAAUGCCAGAUAAUGUGACAAUAAAUAUAACGACAGUGAAAAAUGAAAAAAAAGCUAAUAAUUAAAUAUAAGAAAAUGCCCAGAGCUUUCAGACAACCCAUCAUGCCCUUGGAAGAAGCUCAGACCGAACUAUAAGUGUAAUAACAAUACUGAAGAGACGAGUUGGAUCAUAGAUGGCACGAUAGGUCCUGAUUUCACGAGUGCCAAUUCUCAGCAUCACUCUUAGGCGCUCUGAUGAAAAGGUGAUGAAUGAUAAAGAAAUUAAUGUACAUACAAAAGUUGAGACUAAACAGCAAUUCACUUGAUCAUGUUGCUUUCAUAAUUCAAAAAUAAUAAAUAAACACUGCUGGGCUACAUAGCACUUGCUGAGCCGAGAGAUUAAAUAGCAACUCAACUUAUUUAUUUUUUGUUAAUAUACCUCGACACAAAAAAAAAAAAAAAAUGCUGAAGCUUCAUUGGAUAUAUUGAGCUGAAAGAUAAAUGAACUAGCAACUUAUUGGAUUAUUUUCAUCAUUAUUAUCACUAUGCCUCGGAACAGCAAAUGAAAUAUUAACGCAGGCUCCAUAAAAACAAAUACAAGUACCUGUGAAGUCAAUUAAUUUCCUAUACACUCACAGUUCUUUCAUAACACAACAAUCUCAUUUCUCUUCGAUACUGAACCGAGACAAACCAGCAACGCAUUAGAUUAUUUUCAUUAUUAUAACAGCAAACAAAAUAUCAGCACAGGCACAACAAUACUCAAGACCUGUGAAGUGCAUGAAUUCCAAACUCUGACUGUUCUUUCAUAACACAACAACCUGGUUUCCUUCUGGUACUAAACCGAGAGACAAACCACCAAUUCAUUUGAUUAUUUUUGUUAUUAUUACCGAAAACAAAAUAUCAACAUAGGGGACCAGGAAAACGAAUACCUGUGAAGUGCAUGAAUUCCCUACACAUGCAGUUCUUUCAUGACGCAAUCUUGUUUUGCUUUGACACUGACUGAACUGAGAGGCAAACAAGGAACUCAUUUCAUUAUUUUCAUACAUGAACUCAUAUGGUUAUUUUCAGCACCACAAAAUCAAAUAUCUGUAAUGUGCAUGCCUUUCCUACACACCGCUCCUUCACUAAAUCAACAUUAUGGUUUUCCUUCAGUGCAACUUGACCCCAGUGAUGAUGAUGAUGAUGAUGAAGAAGAGGACAACAUUUGAGACACACACUGGUCACUAAGCCCCUAACAAGAGACACCUGAAUUUGAUAUAUAUUAGAAAAAAUGGGGAAUAUUUAGUUUGUUUUCAAUAUAAAGGGGAGACAUCACUGCUGUGGAGACCAGCCAACACAAUCGCCUCAUCUCAAGUCAUCACACACCUUACAUUGCCUUAGUCAUCACAUACCUCAUCCCAGUCAUCACACCACAUCUCAGUCAUCAAACCUCACCUCAGUCAUCACACAUUUCAUCUCACUCAUUAUGCACCUCAUCUCAUCACAUCCUUCCUUAGUCAUCACACACACCCCACUCAAGUUAAGACAUCUCAUCUCACUCACCACACUUAGUCAUCACAUACUACCUCAUUUCAUACUCCUACAACAACUCAUCACCACUAACACCUCCCUCCACACCCAGGAAGAAACAUGCCCUGGGAGAUGUGCAAAUAAAGAUAUUGAUUUUAAGUAUAUGUGUGUUUCUCAUUAUUCCUUUUUAUUUCUGGUGUUAUGCUAGAGUGACGCCUUCCUCUACAACGGGAAGAUGCCGAUGUUCCUUGAGAAUUAGUCAAAUGAGGGUUUUAAUUAGUUUUUUUCUCUCUUUUGUUCUUUAUAGUUUUUAAUGUUACGAUAAAAAUUUCUUGUUUCCUUGUCUUCGGUUUGUUUUUCUUUUUGUCUUUGCUUUACAUUUUUGUUUUGAAAUAAUAAAAUUCCUUGCUGAUUCUUCUCCUUGGGUCGUUUUUCAUUUUGUUUAGCUUUACAUUUUGGUUUUAAUGUUAUGAUAAAAUUCCUUGUUCAUUCUUCUCUUUGGGUUGUUCUUCAUUUUGUUUGGCUUUACAUUUUGGUUUUAAUGUUAUGAUAAAAUUUCUUGUAGACUAUUCUCUGCUUUUGGUUUGGUUUGUCUUUUUCUUUUUAUCUUGCAGAACAACGGAGCAAAAAAUGAUUCCCAAGAUGUUUCGGCCAUGCUUUCAUCGCUGUCUGCAUCUCCUCACUACUGCUUAUUUAUUAUUCAUUAUUGCCUUUAUGUAUCUAAUUAGUUCCCUCGAGCCGUUUGCAUGAGUUCUUUGGUUUCCUUUCGUCUUUCCACCUCAUUUGCUGAACCUUGACAUACAUUGACACAUCUCUAAAAAAAACUCACCCACUUAUACACUUUCACAAACAUCUUCACUCCCUUUCACUGUACCUAGUUCACCCAACAAUCUUUUUUACAACAAACACUUUUUCGCGCCCUCAUCCGAAUCCCUUAAUAAAUAAGUUACACCCAUAUAAAAAAUCUUAAUUUAAACUGUAGCCCUUCACCCACUCCUUCAUGCACCUUUCAUCCCAUUCCCACACCUGCAUAACUUAAUAACAACCUCGCAGACCCUCACCACUAACAUGCAACGCCUCAGACAUCCCAUCCCUUUGAGCGACCGUCAGACACCAAUCCGCAUCUCCGGGUGAAUUUUGAUUGGCCUAUUCAUUUGGCUCUGGCAGACAUGGGCUACUGACCAAUGCACAAAACGGUAAGGGUAUAAAUAGGCCUAUAUCAAACACAGGCCUCUCGUCCUCUCCCUUGGCUCCCUCAUCACUUAUACAGCUUCCAUGCACCUCAUCACCAGUUUACACCAUUCGUCUUAAGCCAUUCAUUCGUUUUCCUGCAGCUGCUGACAAUAUACGUAUAUAAAAGAUUCUCAGGGUAGGCUUUCGUAUCCUUAACCAUGGAAGUGACACCCAAGUAUUUACGAGGGGGAAGAGAGUAAGGUGUUAAGAGGAAGAGUGUAAACUGGUAACUUGGUAUGUGUAAACCCUGAACCUUGAGCCUUGUUCCCUCUCUUCUCUCUUCAUUUAUCUUCCUUUGUCGUAUUCCUUAUUCUUUGCCCCAUUGCACUCUUUCCAGCUUUUAUCAUUCACUUGCUUCUCUCUCUCUCAUGUCUUCCUCUUUCUCUUUGUUUUUAACUUGUAUUCUUUAACUCAUUUGCUGUUUUCCAUUCACAUCUUUUUAACUUAUGGAUAAAAACUUUUGCGACUGUCACCCACUUCCUUGGCUAACAUUUAUUUACACCUACCCAACAUCUUACUCCCCACCUCAUUUGCAUCUUUAUCUUCUUAUCAGGUCUUUCUAACACAACACUUUCUCCUCUGUUGCUUUCUCUUCAUAAUUUCUCUUCACUCAUCUCUUUUAGUUCUUGAUCCUUUUCUGCUCUUUUUAACACACUUUCUCCUCCACCAUUCAUCACAUUUUAC